rnacentral:snRNA from 1 species
AUCGCUUCUCGGCCUUUUGGCUAAGAUCAAGUGUAGUAUCUGUUCUUAUCAGAAGGAGGAUAUUUUUUCUCCCGUGGUAUAUAAGGCUUCUCCAUGGAAGUGCUAUCAUACUGCCUGUCUACAGCUAGAAGCAACUGUUAGAUGAAAUUAGA